AUUUAAAUCGUGCAACAUAUAUAUUAGAACCAGGUCAGGACUGGAAAGUAGCAGCCUUAAUAAUCCCUAUAUGUGUGCACUUUUUUAUUGGAG
rfam:Mycoplasma sp. CAG:611 genomic scaffold, scf185